ensembl:snoRNA
GCCGAGACUAGAGUCACAUCUAGACACUGCUUGUUGUCAUGGUGUGCUAGAGUACUCGGAGAAUAACUACUAACCUUUAUUCACUGACUGUCCCUAUUAGUAGUUCAGUCAGUCACCAGGUUAGUAACAAGA